GUAAAAGUCGUAACAAGGUCUCCGUUGGUGAACCAGCGG
rnacentral:rRNA from 2 species